GGACUACAGGGGUAUCUAAUCCUGUUUGCUCCCCACGCUUUCGCGCCUCAGCGUCAAUUACGGGCCAGAUAGCCGCCUUCGCCACCGGUGUUCUUCCCAAUAUCUACGAAUUUCACCUCUACACUGGGAAUUCCACUAUCCUCUCCCGCAUUCAAGCUCAUCAGUAUCAAGCGCAGCCCCCAGGUUGAGCCCGGGAAUUUCACGCCUGACUUGAUAAGCCGCCUACGCGCCCUUUACGCCCAGUAAUUCCGAACAACGCUUGCCCCCUUCGUAUUACCGCGGCGGCUGGCAC
rnacentral:rRNA from 1 species